UAUCCAAAUGCGAAUUAUGACUGUCUA
rnacentral:sRNA from 1 species